UACGGAGGGUGCAAACGUUGCUCGGAAUUAUUGGGCGUAAAGCGCGCGUAGGCGCUUGGCAAGUUGGGUGUGAAAGCCCUGGGCUCAACCCAGGAUGUGCACUCAAAACUGCCAAGCUUGAAUCUCGGAGGGGGACAGGGAAUUCUCGGUGUAGAGGUGAAAUUCGUAGAUAUCGGGAGGAACACCAGUGGCGAAGGCGCUGUCCUGGACGAUGAUUGACGCUGAGGCGCGAAAGCAUGGGGAGCGAACA
rnacentral:rRNA from 1 species